rnacentral:rRNA from 1 species
GACGAACGCUGGCGGCGUGCUUAACACAUGCAAGUCGAACGGAAAGGCCCUGCUUUUGUGCGGUGCUCGAGUGGCGAACGGGUGAGUAACACGUGAGUAACCUGCUCUUGACUUUGGGAUAACUUCAGGAAACUGGGGCUACUACCGGAUAGGAGCUCCUGCUGCAUGGUGGGGGUUGGAAAGUUUCGGCGGUUGGGGAUGGACUCGCGGCUUAUCAGCUUGUUGGUGGGGUAGUGGCUUACCAAGGCUUUGACGGGUAGCCGGCCUGAGAGGGUGACCGGCCACAUUGGGACUGAGAUACGGCCCAGACUCCUACGGGAGGCAGCAGUGGGGAAUAUUGCACAAUGGGCAGAAGCCUGAUGCAGCAACGCCGCGUGCGGGAUGACGGCCUUCGGGUUGUGAACCGCUUUCGCCUGUGACGAAGCGUGAGUGACGGUAAUGGGUAAAGAAGCACCGGCUAACUACGUG